CGAAAUGCGAUAAGUAGUGUGAAUUGCAGAAUUCAGUGAAUCAUCGAAUCUUUGAACGCACAUUGCGCCUCCUGGUAUUCCGGGAGGCAUGCCUGUUCGAGCGUCAUUAACACCCCUCAAGCUUAGGUUUACCUAUUGCUUGGUCUUGGAGAUGGAAGCCAAUUCGUUGGAGUCCUCUUCGAAAUCCAAUGGCGAAGACCCUUGCUCUCCCAAGUGUAAUAAUAACUUAUGUCACUGAAGGAAGCGAGAAAUCUUCCGCCGAAACCCCAAAUUGUUUAUGAUUGACCUCGAAUCAGGUAGGGAUACCCGCUGAACUUAAGC
rnacentral:misc_RNA from 1 species